rnacentral:rRNA from 1 species
UGGGAGCACGCUUAGGCGUGUGACUGCGUACCUUUUGUAUAAUGGGUCAGCGACUUAUAUUCUGUAGCAAGGUUAACCGAAUAGGGGAGCCGAAGGGAAACCGAGUCUUAACUGGGCGUUAAGUUGCAGGGUAUAGACCCGAAACCCGGUGAUCUAGCCAUGGGCAGGUUGAAGGUUGGGUAACACUAACUGGAGGACCGAACCGACUAAUGUUGAAAAAUUAGCGGAUGACUUGUGGCUGGGGGUGAAAGGCCAAUCAAACCGGGAGAUAGCUGGUUCUCCCCGAAAGCUAUUUAGGUAGCGCCUCGUGAAUUCAUCUCCGGGGGUAGAGCACUGUUUCGGCAAGGGGGUCAUCCCGACUUACCAACCCGAUGCAAACUGCGAAUACCGGAGAAUGUUAUCACGGGAGACACACGGCGGGUGCUAACGUCCGUCGUGAAGAGGGAAACAACCCAGACCGCCAGCUAAGGUCCCAAAGUCAUGGUUAAGUGGGAAACGAUGUGGGAAGGCCCAGACAGCCAGGAUGUUGGCUUAGAAGCAGCCAUCAUUUAAAGAAAGCGUAAUAGCUCACUGGUCGAGUCGGCCUGCGCGGAAGAUGUAACGGGGCUAAACCAUGCAC